rnacentral:rRNA from 1 species
AAACUUUCAACAAUGGAUCUCUUGGUUCCGGCAUCGAUGAAGAACGCAGCGAAAUGCGAUAACUAGUGUGAAUUGCAGAAUUCCGUGAAUCAUCGAGUCUUUGAACGCACAUUGCGCCCCCUGGUAUUCCGGGGGGCAUGCCUGUCCGAGCGUCAUUGCUGC